UAGAGUUUGAUCAUGGCUCAGGAUGAACGCUAGCGGGAGGCCUAACACAUGCAAGCCGAGCGGUAUAAGAUCUUCGGAUCUUAGAGAGCGGCGCACGGGUGCGGAACACGUGUGCAACCUGCCUUUAUCUGGGGGAUAGCCUUUCGAAAGGAAGAUUAAUACCCCAUAAUAUAAUGAACGGCAUCGUUUAUUAUUGAAAACUCCGGUGGAUAGAGAUGGGCACGCGCAAGAUUAGAUAGUUGGUGAGGUAACGGCUCACCAAGUCAAUGAUCUUUAGGGGGCCUGAGAGGGUGAUCCCCCACACUGGUACUGAGACACGGACCAGACUCCUACGGGAGGCAGCAGUGAGGAAUAUUGGACAAUGGGUGAGAGCCUGAUCCAGCCAUCCCGCGUGAAGGACGACGGCCCUAUGGGUUGUAAACUUCUUUUGUAUAGGGAUAAACCUUUCCACGUGUGGAAAGCUGAAGGUACUAUACGAAUAAGCACCGGCUAACUCCGUGCCAGCAGCCGCGGUAAUACGGAGGGUGCAAGCGUUAUCCGGAUUUAUUGGGUUUAAAGGGUCCGUAGGCGGACUCGUAAGUCAGUGGUGAAAUCUCAUAGCUUAACUAUGAAACUGCCAUUGAUACUGCGGGUCUUGAGUAAAGUAGAAGUGGCUGGAAUAAGUAGUGUAGCGGUGAAAUGCAUAGAUAUUACUUAGAACGCCAAUUGCGAAGGCAGGUCACUAUGUUUUAACUGACGCUGAUGGACGAAAGCGUGGGGAGCGAAC
rnacentral:rRNA from 1 species